AUUGAACGCUGGCGGCAUGCCUUACACAUGCAAGUCGAACGGCAGCACGGGUGCUUGCACCUGGUGGCGAGUGGCGAACGGGUGAGUAAUACAUCGGAACAUGUCCUGUAGUGGGGGAUAGCCCGGCGAAAGCCGGAUUAAUACCGCAUACGAUCCACAGAUGAAAGCGGGGGACCUUCGGGCCUCGCGCUAUAGGGUUGGCCGAUGGCUGAUUAGCUAGUUGGUGGGGUAAAGGCCUACCAAGGCGACGAUCAGUAGCUGGUCUGAGAGGACGACCAGCCACACUGGGACUGAGACACGGCCCAGACUCCUACGGGAGGCAGCAGUGGGGAAUUUUGGACAAUGGGCGAAAGCCUGAUCCAGCAAUGCCGCGUGUGUGAAGAAGGCCUUCGGGUUGUAAAGCACUUUUGUCCGGAAAGAAAUCCUUGACUCUAAUACAGUCGGGGGAUGACGGUACCGGAAGAAUAAGCACCGGCUAACUACGUG
rnacentral:rRNA from 1 species